rnacentral:rRNA from 1 species
GAUGAACGCUAGCGGCAGGCUUAAUACAUGCAAGUCGAGGGGCAGCACGGGGGCAACCCUGGUGGCGACCGGCAAACGGGUGCGGAACACGUACGCAACCUUCCCAUAACUGGUGAAUAGCCUUUCGAAAGAGAGAUUAAUACACCGUAACAUAACGAAGAGGCAUCUCUUUGUUAUUAUAGGCAGCAAUGUCGGUUUUGGAUGGGCGUGCGCCUGAUUAGGUAGUUGGCGGGGUAACGGCCCACCAAGCCUGCGAUCAGUAACUGGUGUGAGAGCACGACCAGUCACACGGGCACUGAGACACGGGCCCGACUCCUACGGGAGGCAGCAGUGGGGAAUAUUGCGCAAUGGGCGGAAGCCUGACGCAGCGACGCCGCGUGAGGAUGACGGCCU